CGGACGGGUGAGUAAUGUCUGGGAAACUGCCCGAUGGAGGGGGAUAACUACUGGAAACGGUAGCUAAUACCGCAUAAUGUCUGCGGACCAAAGCGGGGGGACCUCCGGGCCUCGCGCCAUCAGAUGAACCCAUAUGGGAUUAGCUAGUAGGUAAGGUAACGGCUUACCUAGGCGACGAUCCCUAGCUGGUCUGAGAGGAUGAUCAGCCACACUGGGACUGAGACACGGCCCAG
rnacentral:rRNA from 1 species